rnacentral:lncRNA from 1 species
ACAUAAUUUGAAGUGGUUCCUUUUACUUUUGACCAACUUAUAAUGUAGGUAAUCGUGACUGUUUAGAAAGAAAAUGCAUGAAAGUUAAAGUAUUUGUUUGUGUUUCAUUUUCAAUCUCAAUUUUAUAUGUCAAUUAUAAACGAUUUGACUAUUUAUUAAACUGCAAUUUUAUUAGAAAAAGAAAAAGAAAAAACCUAAGAGAAAAGCACAAAAAAAGCAGACUAAGGGCCGAGCCUCAUUAAAACCUUCUUACGGAAAACCCAGUGGAAAAAACUGUAAAAAGGGAAAAGAGUACCCGUCUAGAAGACGAAAACACAAGAGGGGAGGAGCGAAAGAGAAAGUUUCCGGAACUCCGGCCUAACCAUCGUCCCCAAACAAUCUCGGCUCAAACCCCACGAAAAACAACAGCU